GAAGAAUGGAACUGGAGCAAUCAACCUGCCUGACUUCAGACUCUACUACAAAUCCACAGUCAUCAAGACAGUAUGGUACUGGCACAAAGACAGAAAUAUAGAUCAAUGGAACAGAAUAGAAAUGGGUCCCCAGAGACUGAACCUAAAAGGACAGAGAGCUUCCAGUGGAUUCUUGAAAAACUAAGAUCCCCUGCUCAAAGCAGACACUCAGCGACUGGGAAGGGAGGAACAGCACUGUUACAGUCAGUCAACAGAUAAGAAUCCACCGAUGCCUGACUGCCAAGGAUCUUGUUCAGCUAUCUUGCAUCAAAAGAACAGACAGCCCUGGCCUGGCAAUGUUACACAGCUGCAAUGGGGUGGCCUCAGUCCGCUCGAAGCUUAACUGUAAACACACUGGACUUUAUUAAUCAGUUUCAGUCACAGAAAAAAGAUCUUGUUGGAACAGUGUAUCAGGGGGUUGUGUUUUGGGUCUUCCAUGCCGCACCUAUACAGAGAUGGUAAUUGAAGUUAACAGCAUCAUCUUUUGAUACAAAGAGCAGAGGAGGAGCUUGAGCACAAGUUUAAUUACCUUGUCAUACCUUGGAAAGAGCAGCACAUGAGAAGGUUCAUCUCUGUGAAUCAAUCUCCAAGUUUAUCUAGAUUAUUGAACCAAAAAACCAUGGGGAAAAGAUAGCCAUUAUAUUCAUUCCUUUGUUCCUAAUAUUUAUUAAGGUCACAAAUGAGUAAUUUAUUUCCCUGAGAAGUUUUAUGUGUCUGUAUUGGCCUGUGUUCUUUUGACUAAAGAGACAGAGAAUAAGAACAAAUCAUUUUUUUCAGUUAGCAAAAUUAAGUUCAGUUGCACUUUAACUCCUAUAAUUUAAUUAAUAUGAAGAGCAACACGCUUUAUUCUACAUUAUCUAAUAAAAGAGAGUAAGGGUGAAUUAUAACAGUAUAUGAUUUAUUCCAGGAAUGUAAGGAUAGUU